GACGAACGCUGGCGGCGUGCCUAACACAUGCAAGUAGAGCGAGUGAAUUUCCUUCGGGAGUGAAGCUAGCGGCGGACGGGUGAGUAACACGUGGGCAACCUGCCUCAUAGAGGGGAAUAGCCUUUCGAAAGGAAGAUUAAUACCGCAUAAGAUUGUAGCUUCGCAUGAAGUAGCAAUUAAAGGAGCAAUCCGCUAUGAGAUGGGCCCCGCGGCGCAUUAGCUAGUUGGUGAGGUAACGGCUCACCAAGGCGACGAUGCGUAGCCGACCUGAGAGGGUGAUCGGCCACAUUGGGACUGAGACACGGCCCAGACUCCUACGGGAGGCAGCAGUGGGGAAUAUUGCACAAUGGGGGAAACCCUGAUGCAGCAACGCCGCGUGAGUGAUGACGGCCUCGGUUGUAAGCUACUGUCUUCAGGACGAUAAUAGACGGUACCUCGAGGAGGAAGCCGACGGCUAACGUACGUGCCAGCGAGCCGCGGUAAAC
rnacentral:rRNA from 1 species